GACGAGGGAUCCUAGCGUUGUUCGGAAUCAUUGGGCGUAAAGGGCGCGUAGGUGGUUCUGUAUGUCUACCGUGAAAGCGUACGGCUCAACCGUAUUUUGUCGGUGGAAACUGCAGGACUUGAGGCUGGGAGGGGCUGGUGGAAUUCCCUGUGUAGCGGUGAAAUGCGUAGAGAUGGGGGAGAACACUCGUGGCGAAGGCGGCCAGCUAGACCAGUUCUGACACUGAGGCGCGACAGCGUGGGGAGCAAACAGG
rnacentral:rRNA from 1 species